AAGGUAGAAGGUGGGGUCUGCCGGACGCGUGUUCCUGCCACCAGGUGCCCGCUCCCCGCGAGGCCGGCUCAGGAGCAGGGUAAGUCUGGGACUGCCGUUCGGGCCUACCCAGCAGGUAAGUCUUAGGCCAUCGCCUGCGGUGUCGGCCCCGGGAGCAGCGAGACCCAAGAUUGCAUCAAACGUUUGCCCCGUCUCUGCAUAUGUGACUGGACGUGAAUGAUGCUUCAUUUUGGCACCCCCUUUCCCUGCUCAGGUAGAAUGUAAACAAUUGAAAAAAAUCCCUUCCCAAUCAGAAUACCACCCACAGGACAACGAAGAAAACCUAUCUUCAGUCCCCACCCACGAAAUGCUGGGGGGUGGGGAGGACUGGAAAAGGAGUAAGGGGAGAGGAAGGGUGAGCAGCUGCAAGAAGUCUUUACACCUCUCUGCGGUUCCUGGUAAACGCGCUCAUGUCCUGGGUAUGGAAGGGACUUAAGAAUUCAGGAAAGAUCAAAAUAACGGGCCUCUUCCCCACUCCCUCGCCCUCCCUUCCCCGCUGCUGGGGGGUUAGGGAGGCUCCGUGGAGCUCCAGCACUCUAGAAGGAUCGGGUGAGGCGCGAGGCCUUGCGGGCGGGUGAACCCAAGGUGGGGUGGAAGGCUCCAACCCGCCCAAUCUGAGCCCGAGGCCUGCUGAGAAGCAUGGGGGCCUUGGGAUAGUUCCAGAAUGAGGAUGUGCGUUUCUAGCUGCUUUGCGCCCUCCUCCCCCAAAAAUCUGCUACCACAAUUCCAACCCGGCGGCACGCCCCCAAGACUCCUUUGUCGCCCCAGGGGCGGGACCUGAGCUGUCGAUUUCAGGAGCCCUUCGUGACUUCAAAAGUCCUGGGCACUGUUGCUCAUGAGUGCUGCACAACUGUCGCCCUCUAAAGCCACCUCCAUCCCUCACUGGGCUGGCCUCCUGAGCCUUCGGUGAGGAAACGGGGUUCCGAGUUGCCCGCCUGAGAGCUUAACAGUCUGACUAGAAAAGGGCUAAUUCGCUUUCUGUGCAAAUCUCUUGAGCUAAUUAUUUAAUCUGAAACAUGGACAGGUAAAGGACCAUUGGCGGGCGUGGGGAGGGAGGUGUGGAAUCUUUCCCACACUUUUUGUCACCUUAAAGAAAAAAAAAAGACACCCAAACUCCUCUGGUCUGAAUGGGCUGCCUGGAACUGGGCUUCCCGGGGCCAGGAGUGGGCCCCUAGAAGUUUCCCAGUUUGGGGUGGGGCCGGGGUUCCGAAGUCUAGAGCUGGGAGUCGGGUUCAGCGGCCCGAGACGCUGGCUCUCCCAGACUCCCUUGCGCCGGGGCAGUGCGCGGGGGCGGCUCGGGUCCCUCCCGGGCCGGCGGGGACCCUCAGGCUCCCGGGGCGCCGCCCACCAGCCCGACCCGGCGGCCUAGAAAUCCCCAUUCUGCUCCCGCCUCGCCCCGGCCGGCCAGCGCAGGGCCCCUCAGGCCCGCAAUCUCCAGGCUCAAACGGCGAACAGGUCCCCGCAUCCGCCUGCCUUUGCACUUGGGGGUGGGAGAGCCACCUUGUGACGCCCCUUCUGCCUCUCACCAGCUUCCCCCUUUCUCCCCGUCCUGUACGGUUCCCCCUGGAGCCAGAAGGAAGCCCGGUGCCAGCCAGCCUUCCUGAAAGACCAAGCCCGCGCCAUCCGGCUUCCUCCAGUGGACGCCUGCAGGACCCAGGAAUGUUUUUCUUGAAGGCAUCCAGCAUCUCCAGUUAGCAGUACUGAUUUUUUUUCCCCCCAACAAAGGAACACUACAUCAACACUGUUGGCGGGGACCUGGACACAGAAGACUCCUGUUUCAAGAAAAUACAAUCAUCUCUCAAAGGCUGUAAUUUAUAUGCAUUUUAAAACUCUAGGCAUUGAAAACCACCCAAGUGUCCCAAAUAGAAGGGUAAUAUAUAAUCAAUCACUCAGUGUAAUAUUAUACAUCCUUUAAAAAUGUUAUUGGGAAAUGUUUUAUGAUCUGUAAGUCCAAGGAAUCCUCUCCCACCAUUUCUUUCCCCCCGCUGUUCCCCCAUACCCACACUUCUUUGUUCCAAUUGGCAUGUAAAUUUGGUUUUCCCGCCAAAUGAGUCAGUCAUGAUGGGAACCUCAACUGAUUUGAACAGAUGUGUGUCAAUGUUACUUGGAAAACUAGAUGUCAAUAACCAGGGUCACAGAAAAAGGCAGUGGUCACAACUCUGUAAAAAUGUAUGCAUGCACACAGACAAGAACUAAAGUGGAACCCCACACAGGAAAACAGUGGGCUGUACUCCAGUGCUGGGACAUUGAAUGACUGUAUGCUGCUUUUGAUUUCCGUU
rnacentral:lncRNA from 1 species